rnacentral:rRNA from 1 species
AUUGAACGCUGGCGGCAGGCCUAACACAUGCAAGUCGAGCGGAUGACGGGAGCUUGCUCCUUGAUUCAGCGGCGGACGGGUGAGUAAUGCCUAGGAAUCUGCCUGGUAGUGGGGGACAACGUUUCGAAAGGAACGCUAAUACCGCAUACGUCCUACGGGAGAAAGCAGGGGACCUUCGGGCCUUGCGCUAUCAGAUGAGCCUAGGUCGGAUUAGCUAGUUGGUGGGGUAAUGGCUCACCAAGGCGACGAUCCGUAACUGGUCUGAGAGGAUGAUCAGUCAGACUGGAACUGAGACACGGUCCAGACUCCUACGGGAGGCAGCAGUGGGGAAUAUUGGACAAUGGGCGAAAGCCUGAUCCAGCCAUGCCGCGUGUGUGAAGAAGGCCUUCGGAUUGUAAAGCACUUUAAGUUGGGAGGAAGGGCAGUAAGUUAAUACCUUGCUGUUUUGACGUUACCGACAGAAUAAGCACCGGCUAACUCUGUGCCAGCCGCCGCCGUAAUAC